CUUUGAUUUCUUCGGGAUGAAGAGCUUAGUGACUGAGCGGCGGACGGGUGAGUAACGCGUGGGUAACCUGCCUCAUACAGGGGGAUAACAGUUAGAAAUGACUGCUAAUACCGCAUAAGGCCACAGCACCGCAUGGUGCAGGGGUAAAAACUCCGGUGGUAUGAGAUGGACCCGCGUCUGAUUAGGUAGUUGGCGGGGUAACGGCCCACCAAGCCGACGAUCAGUAGCCGGCCUGAGAGGGUGAACGGCCACAUUGGGACUGAGACACGGCCCAAACUCC
rnacentral:rRNA from 1 species